AAGACUAUAGACCUGCGGAGUACCUGCGGAGGGAUCAUUACUGAGUAUCGCGGUCUUCGGACCCGCUACCCGCCCUCUGUCAUAUGUUGGACGAGGUCGUCUCUCUCGGGGCGGCCUCCGACCCCACUUCCCGGGAGGCGUCGCGCCCCGUCGAGGCCCUAGGCUUCGGCGGGGAUGGGACCGCCCGGGGUCUUUUUCCAAACCCUUUGUGAGAAAUCUGAAGUCCGAUUUUAUAAAAAA
rnacentral:misc_RNA from 1 species